rnacentral:rRNA from 1 species
GAUGAACGCUGGCGGCGUGCCUAAUACAUGCAAGUAGAACGCUGAAGCUUGGUGCUUGCACCGAGCGGAUGAGUUGCGAACGGGUGAGUAACGCGUAGGUAACCUGCCUCUUAGCGGGGGAUAACUAUUGGAAACGAUAGCUAAUACCGCAUAAAAGUCGAUAUCGCAUGAUAUUGAUUUGAAAGGUGCAAAUGCAUCACUAAGAGAUGGACCUGCGUUGUAUUAGCUAGUUGGUGAGGUAACGGCUCACCAAGGCGACGAUACAUAGCCGACCUGAGAGGGUGAUCGGCCACACUGGGACUGAGACACGGCCCAGACUCCUACGGGAGGCAGCAGUAGGGAAUCUUCGGCAAGGGGGGCAACCCUGACCGAGCAACGCCGCGUGAGUGAAGAAGGUUUUCGGAUCGUAAAGCUCUGUUGUAAGAGAAGAACGAGUGUGAGAGUGGAAAGUUCACACUGUGACGGUAACUUACCAGAAAGGGACGGCUAACUACGUG